rnacentral:rRNA from 1 species
UACGUAGGGUGCGAGCGUUAAUCGGAAUUACUGGGCGUAAAGCGUGCGCAGGCGGCGCCGCAAGUCAGGCGUGAAAUCCCCGAGCUUAACUUGGGAAUGGCGCUUGAAACUACGGUGCUGGAGUGUGGCAGAGGGAGGUGGAAUUCCGACGUGUAGCAGUGAAAUGCGUAGAGUAUGCGGAGGAACACCGAUGGCGAAGG